rnacentral:lncRNA from 1 species
CCCGUGGCCCGGAGUGCUGCGUUGUACUCUUCCCCCUAAGUGCUGCGCGCUCCGAAGCACCUCUCAUUCACAUGGCUCUCCAUCAUGUGAUCGGGUCUUACGCAACUGCGGCGUCCUUAUCCAAUUCUGAGCAUCGUUCAAGUUGGCCCUGGAGAAGAAGACAAUAGAGCGAGAAACAUUGCUAACUCUAGCAGCUAUGGCUGGUCUGGUGGACGAUGAAGAUGCUACUUGACCAUGGAGUGUCUCCGCAUGGUUUUAUUUGGUCUCCCAAGUUUUCUGAGCAAAAAAAUGUAAAUACAAUAAAAUACAAGUAUUCCCAUGCAUAAUAGAGAGACGUGAUUGUAUACAAAUGUAAGCAAGGUUUGAAAUUAUUAUGUUUAGUGUAACAUAUCUGUUUGGGCUUCUUCCUGUUAAUUUGCGGUCUACAAAAUAUUUGUAAUUAUGUUUCAGUCCCUCGACCAUCCGCUCAAUAAAGAAAUCGUCCUGCGGCUGAAUCUAGUCGAUGAUCCCUGGUAUAAAGUCUGUGUCCUUGGCAUCACAACAAGUAUCAUUGUUGGAAUGACUCUUAGUAUAUUAUUCCACUGCUAUUCAACAUUUUUUGUGAUUUUUCCCGGUCAGCUGUUAG